rnacentral:rRNA from 1 species
UACGUAGGGGGCAAGCGUUGUCCGGAUUUAUUGGGCGUAAAGAGCGUGUAGGCGGCUUUACAGGUCCGUUGUGAAAACUCGAGGCUCAACUUCGAGACGCUGGUGGAAACCGUAAAGCUAGAGUCCGGAAGAGGAGAGUGGAAUUCCUGGUGUAGCGGUGAAAUGCGCAGAUAUCAGGAGGAACACCCGUGGCGAAAGCGGCUCUCUGGGACGGUACUGACGCUGAGACGCGAAAGCGUGGGGAGCAAACAGG